rnacentral:rRNA from 1 species
UACGUAGGGGGCGAGCGUUGUCCGGAUUUAUUGGGCGUAAAGGGCACGCAGGCGGUCUGCUAAGUUCAGGGUGACAAUCACCAGCUUAACUGGUGAAGGUCCUUGAAAACUGGUGGACUUGAGAGCGAGAGAGGGACACGGAACUCCGGGUGGAGCAGUGAAAUGCGUAGAGAUCCGGAAGAACACCAAAGGCGAAGGCAGUGUCCUGGCUCGUUUCUGACGCUCAGGUGCGAAAGCGAGGGGAGCGAACGGG